GUGGGGAAUCUUGCGCAAUGGGCGAAAGCCUGACGCAGCCAUGCCGCGUGAAUGAUGAAGGUCUUAGGAUUGUAAAAUCCUUUCACCGGGGACGAUAAUGACGGUACCCGGAGAAGAAGCCCCGGCUAACUUCGUGCCAGCAGCCGCGGUAAUACGAAGGGGGCUAGCGUUGCUCGGAAUUACUGGGCGUAAAGGGCGCGUAGGCGGACAGCUUAGUCAGAGGUGAAAGCCCAGGGCUCAACCUUGGAAUUGCCUUUGAUACUGGCUGUCUUGAGUUUGGGAGAGGUGAGUGGAACUCCGAGUGUAGAGGUGAAAUUCGUAGAUAUUCGGAAGAACACCAGUGGCGAAGGCGACUCACUGGCCCAAUACUGACGCUGAGGCGCGAAAGCGUGGGGAGCAAACAGGAUUAGAAACCCUAGUAGUCC
rnacentral:rRNA from 1 species